UCUGACCAGUGUGGAGAGAAGACCACAGGACAGUGACACAGAAAGAGGGUAAAGUUUAUCCUGUGGAGGGAGAGACUGUCUGUCUCAAACAUCAAAUCAGGAUGUUUGUUGUCAUCCUGGUGACCCUGCUGUUCUCCGUGAGAGGCAGCAAUGCUGACACAGGUGUAGAUUGGAGAAGACCAUUCUGUGACAGAGGAUACUGUAUCACUCUUAGUAAAGGAGAAAUAACAGCAGAGGCCGGACUCUGUGUUGUGAUACCGUGUCUUUU